rnacentral:rRNA from 1 species
ACACGACUACAUUAGAUACCCCUGUAGUCCCAGCCGUAAACUAUGCGCGUUAGGUGUAUCGGUGACCACGAGUCACCGAGGUGCCGAAGGGAAACCGUGAAACGUGCCGCCUGGGAAGUACGGUCGCAAGGCUGAAACUUAAAGGAAUUGGCGGGGAGCACCACAACGGGUGGAGCCUGCGGUUUAAUUGGACUCAACGCCGGGAAGCUCACCGGAUAAGACAGCGGAAUGAUUGCCGGGCUGAAGACUCUGCAUGACUAGCUG